rnacentral:rRNA from 1 species
AUGCAAGUCGAACGCUGAAGCACUCUGCUUGCAGAGUGUAGAUGAGUGGGAAGGGCGGUAACACGUGGGGAACCUGCCCAUAAGAGGGGGAUAACAUCCGGAAACGGGUGCUAAUACCGCAUAGGUGAUCAUAGCGCAUGCUUAGAUCAUUAAAGAUGGCUUCGGCUAUCGCUUAUGGAUGGCCCCGCGGCGUAUUAGCUAGUUGGUGAGGUAAUGGCUCACCAAGGCUGUGAUACGUAGCCGACCUGAGAGGGUGAUCGGCCACACUGGAACUGAGACACGGUCCAGACUCCUACGGGAGGCAGCAGUAGGGAAUCUUCCACAAUGGGCGAAAGCCUGAUGGAGCAAUACCGCGUGAGUGAAGAAGGUCUUCGGAUCGUAAAGCUCUGUUGUUAGAGAAGAACAAGAGGUGUAGUAACUGGCACCUCCUUGACGGUAUCUAACCAGAAAGUCACGGCUAACUACGUGCCAGCAGCCGCGGUAAUACGUAGGUGACAAGCGUUGUCCGGAUUUAUUGGGCGUAAAGCGAGCGCAGGCGGUCUUUUAAGUCUGAUGUGAAAGCCCACGGCUCAACCGUGGAGGGUCAUUGGAAACUGGAAGACUUGAAUGCAGAAGAGGAAAGUGGAAUUCCAUGUGUAGCGGUGAAAUGCGUAGAUAUAUGGAGGAACACCAGUGGCGAAGGCGACUUUCUGGUCUGUAAUUGACGCUGAGGCUCGAAAGCGUGGGGAGCGAACAGGAUUAGAUACCCUGGGUAGUCCACGCCGUAAACGAUGAGU